rnacentral:pre_miRNA from 1 species
UGCUGGUUUCCUCUGCGGUGAUAUUCCAAAUGAAGUGCUUAUCACCGGGUGAAAACUGGUAGA